ensembl:misc_RNA Metazoa_SRP Metazoan signal recognition particle RNA
GCUAGGCAUGUUGGCACAUGCCUGUGGUCCUCACUACUAGGGAAGCUGAGGCUGGAGGAUCGCUUAUGCUCAGGAAUUUUGAGCUGUAGUGGGACAAGCUGAUUGAAUGUCCCCACUUAGUUUGGCAUUAGUAUGGUGAGUCCUUGGGAUCAGGGCCAUCAUAUUGCCCAAAGAUGGGGUUUGCUGACCCUGGUUGGAAAAGGAUUGGGUCAAAUCUCCUAUGCUGAUCAGUAGUGAGAUCAAGCUGGUGAGUCUUCCUGGCACUUCCAGCCUGAGCAAGAAAGGGGAACUUAGUCUUUA